rnacentral:rRNA from 1 species
GACGGGGGGUCCUAGCGUUGUUCGGAAUCAUUGGGCGUAAAGCGUGUGCAGGUGGCUUUGAAAGUUAGAUGUGAAAGCCCCGGGCUUAACCCGGGAAGUGCAUUUAAAACUUCAAAACUUGAGUAUGGAAGAGGGUCGUGGAAUUCCAGGUGUAGUGGUGAAAUGCGUAGAUAUCGAGAGGAACAUCAGUGGCGAAAGCGAAUCUCUGGGUGACACCUGACGC